GAGGGUAUAGCUUAGUGGUAGAGCACGUGCUUACCAUGCACGAGGUCCUGAAUUCAAACCCCUUACCUCCA
rnacentral:tRNA from 1 species